UUUUUUUUCUUCACGACUUAGGGUUUUGCUGAUCAAUGGCAUCGGAGGAUGUGAAGACGAGCGAAGCGGCUGUUACGACUAUCGUCAGUCUAGCGGAGGAGGCUAAGUUGGCUAGAGAGGGAGUCAAGGCCCCGAGCUAUGCUGUUCUUAGUAUCUGCAAGUCUCUCGUUGCUGGGGGUGUUGCCGGUGGAGUGUGAGUUUUCUUUUUUCCUUUUCUUGGUAGUUUGUUUGCUUCCUGGCAUAAUAAAUCAUGCUUUUGUUGGAAAUGAAUGUUAUUUUGUGGUUUGCCGGUUCAUUUACGCUUUCACCUGAUAGAAGUUGAGAAAGGUUAAAAUUAUGUAGAACGGGACAGGUUGAAAUUCAUUUAUAUGCGCAAUUGCUUCUGAGAAAUAAAAUUUGAGAUUUUCUUUCCGAUAAACAGUGUCAUUUUUGUUAAAGAUUCACUGCAUUAUUAGCCAAGCUGGACAAUUAUGCUUCAAAUUCAUAUUCUUUUGUUGCAUUUGGACCUAACUUAAAACAUAUACACUGAGGAGUAGGAGUUAAUGUUGUUUGUUUAUUGGUUCUUUGGAAAUAUUAUGAGAUUGGCCAAUUUGCUUCUCACGAAAAAUCGAAAAACAUAGUAUUAUCCAAAAUUUGAACCUGAUGUUAGCCAUCCAAUCUGGUUUUUAAGAUUAGGCAAAGCUAAUAUGUGAAAUAAUCUCAACUUUUUCAGUCACUUCUUUUACUUCCAUAAAAAUUGAAUUGGUAACUCACAAUAAGAACUCUGGUAUUGUCAUCGACACUUUCUAAACACUGCAUG
rnacentral:misc_RNA from 1 species